GGGGAUUUAGCUCAGUGGUAGAGCGCUUGCCUAGGAAGCGCAAGGCCCUGGGCUUAGUUCCCA
rfam:Rattus norvegicus chromosome 7, whole genome shotgun sequence.